UACGAAGGGGGCUAGCGUUGCUCGGAAUUACUGGGCGUAAAGGGCGCGUAGGCGGAUAGUUUAGUCAGAGGUGAAAGCCCAGGGCUCAACCUUGGAACUGCCUUUGAUACUGGCUAUCUUGAGUUCGGGAGAGGUGAGUGGAAUGCCGAGUGUAGAGGUGAAAUUCGUAGAUAUUCGGCGGAACACCAGUGGCGAAGGCGGCUCACUGGCCCGAUACUGACGCUGAGGCACGAAAGCGUGGGGAGCAAACAGG
rnacentral:rRNA from 1 species